UACAGAGGUCCCAAGCGUUGUUCGGAUUCAUUGGGCGUAAAGGGUGCGUAGGUGGCGCUGUAAGUCGGGUGUGAAAUCUCGGAGCUUAACUCCGAAACUGCAUUCGAUACUGCGGUGCUCGAGGACUGGAGAGGAGACUGGAAUUCAUGGUGUAGCAGUGAAAUGCGUAGAGAUCAUGAGGAAGACCAGUGGCGAAGGCGGGUCUCUGGACAGUUCCUGACACUGAGGCACGAAGGCCAGGGGAGCAAACGGG
rnacentral:rRNA from 1 species